rnacentral:tRNA from 1 species
GGGGCUGUAGCGCAGCUGGUAGCGCACCUGCAUGGCAUGCAGGGGGUCAGGGGUUCAAAUCCCCUUAGCUCCA